UACGUAGGUGACAAGCGUUGUCCGGAUUUACUGGGCGUAAAGCGCGUGUAGGCGGCUUGUUAAGUCUGUCGUGAAAUCUCCCGGCUUAACCGGGAUAGGUCGACGGAUACUGGCAGGCUUGAGGGGAGCAGAGGAAGGUGGAAUUCCCGGUGUAGUGGUGAAAUGCGUAGAUAUCGGGAGGAACACCAGUGGCGAAGGCGGCCUUCUGGGCUCAACCUGACGCUGAUACGCGAAAGCGUGGGGAGCGAACCGG
rnacentral:rRNA from 1 species